CGCCACCCCGGGGAGCAGGACGCAGGCGGCCGCCCUGCCCUCUGCUAAUCCUGGGCGGCCUGGGCUGUUCCCGCCGACCCGCCAAGGAUGGAGAGAAGUUUCCAGGGCUUCGCCCGCUCUUGCCGGUGGCCUCUGCCGACCCCGCCGUUCUCCCGAGGCCGAGCUGAGAGGCUCUCCGCUGGGGGGCACCCGCCCCUCAGGUCGUGCCCUCGGGAUGGGAGGCCCAGGGCUCCGCCACCUGCUCCACGAGGCCGCGGGCGCGCUCCCCGACUGCUGCUGCGCCUGCGCGGUCCGGGCAGUGGCGACCGGCCCCUGUCGGGGAGGCAGCUCACCCCCCGGGGCGCUUCGCAGAUGGGCCCGCGGCGGGCACCCCAGCACCGCUGCAGAAACCUCUCAACGCCCUGUGGACCCCGCAGUCACCGGGAGGCGGGCGCUGGUUCAUCUCGGUCAAGACUGUGGGUCUGCUGCUUGCAGACACCCUUGAACUUGAACGUGGAACCGGGAGCGCGCGAAACAGGAAGCGGGGUGCGGAGCCCGCGCCCCCGUGAGCAGGCUGGCGCAGCGACAGCCCCCGCUGGGGCGCAGGGAAGCCAAAGGGGGCCAGGAGAAGGCUGCUCUUAGUGAGGAAGCGGCGGCGUUGGGGGAGAGUUGGAGCAAAGAUUGCGGCCGUGGCGAUAUUUCUCCUACAGCGGAGGAAAGGAUGGGAGCCGAGACUGGAAAGUGGCCGGUCUGCAGCCAGGGUUUCAGGGCCGAGUGGUCCCGGUGACGCACGCCCCUUCGGGAGUGUGGGCGGCCGGUGCGAGGAAGUGAGGUAGACGGACUAAAGAUGGCGCCCGUACAUCUAAAAUGGAGUCAGUCUUGCUCUAACCAUUGGUAAAGGUUCCCAGAGGAAGUUCCCAGGAGAGGGAAGAGGGCGUUGAGGAGGCCUGUUCCCAAAAAGAAUAGACAGGUCCUGUUCCAGGAAGAGUCCCUUGUCCCUCGAUGUACCGUUCAUUGUUCGCUUGGUUAACGACUAACCGCAAAGUCCUGCUUCUGUGAUUGCUGGCUGGCAUAGCUGCCGGCCCUGAGGUAUAGAAAACCGCGAAGGCCUUGCUGGGGCUGCUGCUCCCUCCUCGCAUGGAGUGGCGAAGCCCCUGCGCAGGCAUCAAUAAACUAAUUUGGCUGAUUAGAUUCUGGUGUCCGAGUCCCCUUGAUCCGCUGGUUUGCGACAUUUGGAGGCCCCAGCGAGAUCCACCGCUGACGGACCCAGACCGCAGGGGUUCCCGGAGGGACGGUCCUCGCCCGCGGUAGACUGGGGACCCCAUUGAGUGGCGCCGGGACGAGGGACGUCUCUUGCCCACCUGAGAUGACUGCCAGCAGUUGCUUAAGGUGCUCUUCACAACGGAGGAAAGAGAAAGGAUUCAGGGGGAGGCUCGGAAGCUGGUUCCGGGGAGGAUGGCAGACCUACUACAAACCCGCCAACCAUCGACCGAACUUUUCCCCUUGAACGGCCGCUUUGGGACUACAAUGAGGCUGAAGGCAGGGAGCAUCUCCGGGUCUACUGCCAGACUCUGAUGGUUGGUCUCCGUAUGGCGGCGCGAAAGCCGACCAAUUUGGCCAAGACCUAAAGGAUGCCUUCUUUAGCCUGGUGGUGGCGACACGCAGCCAGGAGAUUUUCGCCUUUGAGUGGCGGGACGACAAGAGAGGAAUUCAUGAGCAGCUGACAUAGAAGAGACUGCCCCAGGGGUUUAAAAACUCGCCUACCCUGUUCAACGAGGCCCUCCAUGAUGACCUUGGUGAGUACCGAACUAAUCACCCAGAGGUGACUCUGCUGCAGUACGAACUAAUCACCCAGAGGUGACUCUGCUGCAGUACAUAGAUGACUUGCUGUUAGCUGCACCUAACCCCCAGGCCUGCCUAGAGGACACCAAAAACUUAUUCAAAGUAUUAGGCGAGUUGGGGUACCGAGCCAGUGCAAAGAAGGCUCAAAUUUGCAAGGAUGAAGUCACCUAUUUGGGAUAUAAAAUAAAAGGUGGCCGAAGGUGGCUAACCGAGGCAAUGAAGCAGACUGUGUUAAAGAUACCCACUUCAGCCUCAAGCCGAGAACUGAGGGAAUUCCUGGGGUCGGUGGGUUACUGCCACCUCUGGAUUCCAGGGUUUGCGGAAAAGGCUCCACCUCUGUAUGAAGGGUGUAGGGCGGGGCGAGCAUGGGAGUGGACUGUGCAAAUGGAAGACGCUUUUCAGGCCCUGAGGGCAGCCAUGCUGGAAGCCCCGG